rnacentral:rRNA from 1 species
GAUAGACGCUGGCGGCGCACAUAAGACAUGCAAGUCGAACGGACUUAACCAUUAGUUUACUAUUGGAGCGGUUAGUGGCGGACUGGUGAGUAACACGUAAGCAACCUGCCUAUCAGAGGGGAACAACAGUUAGAAAUGACUGCUAAUACCGCAUAUGCCUUAGCAACACAUGUUGCAAAAGGGAAGGAGCAAUCCGCUGAUAGAUGGGCUUGCGUCUGAUUAGUUAGUUGGUAGGGUAACGGCCCACCAAGACGAUGAUCAGUAGCUGGACUGAGAGGUUGAACGGCCACAUUGGGACUGGAGAUACGGCCCAG